rnacentral:rRNA from 1 species
UACGUAGGGUGCGAGCGUUGUCCGGAAUUAUUGGGCGUAAAGAGCUUGUAGGCGGUUUGUCGCGUCUGCUGUGAAAAUCCGGGGCUCAACCCCGGACUUGCAGUGGGUACGGGCAGACUAGAGUGUGGUAGGGGAGACUGGAAUUCCUGGUGUAGCGGUGGAAUGCGCAGAUAUCAGGAGGAACACCGGUGGCGAAGGCGGGACUCUGGGCCGAUACUGACGCUGAGGAGCGAAAGCGUGGGGAGCAAACAGG